rnacentral:rRNA from 1 species
GAUGAACGCUAGCGGCAGGCCUAACACAUGCAAGUCGAGGGGCAUCAUGGCGUAGCAAUACGCUGAUGGCGACCGGCGCACGGGUGCGUAACGCGUAUGGAACCUACCCACCGCAGGGGGAUAACCCGCCGAAAGGCGGACUAAUACCCCAUGGUUCCCCGACCCUGCCCUGGGGUUGGGGUAAAGCCUACGGGCGGCGGUGGAUGGCCCUGCGUGCCAUUAGCUGGCUGGUGGGGUAACGGCCCACCAGGGCGACGAUGGCUAGGGGGUCUGAGAGGACGAUCCCCCAACUGGUACUGAGACACGGACCAGACUCCUACGGGAGGCAGCAGUGAGGAAUAUUGGUCAAUGGGCGGAAGCCUGAACCAGCCAUGCCGCGUGCAGGAUGACGGCCCUAUGGGUUGUAAACUGCUUUUGUACGGAACGAAACGGUGAGCUCUAAUAAAGCUUGCUAAAUGACGGUACCGUAAGAAUAAGCACCGGCUAACUACGUGCCAGCAGCCGCGGUAAUCUCG